UACAGAGACUGCAAGCGUUAUUCGGAUUCACUGGGCGUAAAGGGUGCGCAGGCGGCCGAGUGUGUGAGGCGUGAAAGCCCGGGGCUUAACCCCGGAAUUGCACCUCAAACUACACGGCUAGAGCAUUGGAGAGGGUAGCAGAAUUCAUGGUGUAGCAGUGAAAUGCGUAGAUAUCGAGAGGAACACCAGUGGCGAAGGCGAGUCCCUGGACAACUCCUGACACUGAGGCACGAAAGCUAGGGGAGCAAACAGG
rnacentral:rRNA from 1 species